CACGUAGGGGGCAAGCGUUGUCCGGAGUUACUGGGCGUAAAGGGUGCGCAGGCGGAUGCGUGCGGUUUGCGGUGAAAGCUCUCAGCUUAACUGGGAGAGGGCCGUGAAGACGGCGUAUCUUGAGACUCGGAGAGGGACGUGGAAUUCCGGGUGGAGCGGUGAAAUGCGUAGAGAUCCGGAAGAACACCGACGGCGAAGGCAGCGUCCUGGCCGAGUUCUGACGCUCAGGCACGAAGGCGCGGGGAGCGAACAGG
rnacentral:rRNA from 1 species